AGUGAACGCUGGCGGUAGGCCUAACACAUGCAAGUCGAACGGCAGCACAGUAAGAGCUUGCUCUUACGGGUGGCGAGUGGCGGACGGGUGAGGAAUACAUCGGAAUCUACUCUUUCGUGGGGGAUAACGUAGGGAAACUUACGCUAAUACCGCAUACGACCUACGGGUGAAAGCAGGGGAUCUUCGGACCUUGCGCGAUUGAAUGAGCCGAUGUCGGAUUAGCUAGUUGGCGGGGUAAAGGCCCACCAAGGCGACGAUCCGUAGCUGGUCUGAGAGGAUGAUCAGCCACACUGGAACUGAGACACGGUCCAGACUCCUACGGGAGGCAGCAGUGGGGAAUAUUGGACAAUGGGCGCAAGCCUGAUCCAGCCAUACCGCGUGGGUGAAGAAGGCCUUCGGGUUGUAAAGCCCUUUUGUUGGGAAAGAAAAGCAGCAGGUUAAUACCCCGCUGUUCUGACGGUACCCAAAGAAUAAGCACCGGCUAACUUCGCG
rnacentral:rRNA from 1 species